rnacentral:lncRNA from 1 species
GCCAGCUCCCGUGCCAGGAUAUCACGCAGCAUCUCCCUCGGUGACAGUGAGGGCCCUAUCGUGGCCACACUGGCCCAGCCCCUCCGUAGGCCAUCGUCCGUUGGGGAGCUGGCCUCCUUGGGCCAGGAGCUUCAGGCCAUCACCACCGCGACAACACCCAGUUUGGACAGUGAGGGCCAAGAGCCUGCCCUGCGUUCCUGGGGCAACCACGAGGCCCGGGCCAACCUGAGACUGACCCUGUCAAGUGCCUGUGAUGGGCUCCUGCAGCCCCCCGUGGAUACCCAGCCUGGCGUCACCGUCCCUGCAGUGAGCUUCCCAGCCCCUAGCCCUGUGGAAGAGAGCGCCCUGAGGCUCCACGGCUCUGCCUUUCGCCCAAGUCUCCCAGCUCCUGAGUCCCCUGGCCUUCCUGCCCACCCCAGUAACCC